rnacentral:rRNA from 1 species
GACGAACGCUGGCGGCGUGCUUAACACAUGCAAGUCGAACGGAAAGGCCCUGCUUUUUUGGGGUGCUCGAGUGGCGAACGGGUGAGUAACACGUGAGUAUCCUGCCCUUGACUUUGGGAUAACUUCAGGAAACUGGGGCUAAUACCUGAUAGGAGCUCCUGCUGCAUGGUGGGGGUUGGAACGUUUCGGCGGUUGGGGAUGGACUCGCGGCUUAUCAGCUUGUUGGUGGGGUAGUGGCUUACCAAGGCUUUGACGGGUAGCCGGCCUGAGAGGGUGACCGGCCACAUUGGGACUGAGAGACGGCCCAGACUCCUACGGGAGGCAGCAGGGGGGAAUAUUGCACAAUGGGCGGAAGCCUGAUGCAGAAACGCCGCGUGCGGGAUGAAGGCCUUCGGGGGGUAAACCGCUUUCGCCUGUGACGAAGCGUGAGUGACGGUAAUGGGUAAAGAAGCACCGGCUAACUACGUG